rnacentral:rRNA from 1 species
UAAAAUUAUAAAUAAAUAAAAAUAGAGUAGUAUUAGUUAAAUUCUUAAAACUUAAAAAAUUUGGCGGUAUUUUAAUUUAUUCAGAGGAACUUGUUUUAUAAUUGAUAAUCCUCAAUUUAUCUUACUUAAUUUUAUUUAGUUUGUAUACCGUCGUCAUAAGAAUUUCUUAAUAGAGUAAUAAUAUUCUAAAAUUUUAAUUAUAAAUUAUGUCAGAUCAAGGUGCAGCUUAUAAUUAAGAAAAAAUGAGUUACAAUAAAAUUAUUUAUACGGUAUUAUAUAUUAAAUUAUAAUUUAAGGUGGAUUUGAUAGUAAAAUAAAUUAAAUAAUUUAUUUGAUUAAAAUUCUAAAAUAUGU